CCCGGGCCUUGUACACACCGCCCGUCACACCAUGGAAGCCGGUAACAUCCGAAGCCGGUGGCCUAACCCGCAAGGGAGGGAGCCGUCGAAGGUGGGAUUGGUGACUGGGGUG
rnacentral:rRNA from 1 species